ACGACAGGUUUCCGUAGGUGAACCUGCGGAAGGAUCAUUA
rnacentral:rRNA from 1 species